UCCUACGGGAGGCAGCAGUGGGGAAUAUUGGACAAUGGGCGAAAGCCUGAUCCAGCCAUGCCGCGUGUGUGAAGAAGGUCUUCGGAUUGUAAAGCACUUUAAGUUGGGAGGAAGGGCAGUAAGUUAAUACCUUGCUGUUUUGACGUUACCAACAGAAUAAGCACCGGCUAACUUCGUGCUAGCAGCCGCGGUAAUA
rnacentral:rRNA from 1 species